AUUGAACGCUGGCGGCAGGCCUAACACAUGCAAGUCGAACGAGUGGCGGACGGGUGAGUAAUGUAUGGGAAACUGCCUGAUGGAGGGGGAUAACUACUGGAAACGGUAGCUAAUACCGCAUACCAUCGGAUGUGCCCAGAUGGGAUUAGCUAGUAGGUGGGGUAAAGGCUCACCUAGGCGACGAUCCCUAGCUGGUCUGAGAGGAUGACCGGCCACACUGGAACUGAGACACGGUCCAGACUCCUACGGGAGGCAGCAGUGGGGAAUAUUCGACAAUGGGCGCAAGCCUGAUGCAGCAAUGCCGCGUGUAUGAAGAAGGCCUUCGGGUUGUAAAGUACUUUCAGCGGGGAGGCGUUACCCGCAGAGAAAGCACCGGCUAACUCCGUGCCAGCAGCCGCGGUAAUAC
rnacentral:rRNA from 1 species